rnacentral:rRNA from 1 species
GACGAACGCUGGCGGCGUGCCUAAUACAUGCAAGUUGAGCGCUGAAGGUUGGUACUUGUACCAACUGGAUGAGCAGCGAACGGGUGAGUAACGCGUGGGGAAUCUGCCUUUGAGCGGGGGACAACAUUUGGAAACGAAUGCUAAUACCGCAUAAAAACUUUAAACACAAGUUUUAAGUUUGAAAGAUGCAAUUGCAUCACUCAAAGAUGAUCCCGCGUUGUAUUAGCUAGUUGGUGAGGUAAAGGCUCACCAAGGCGAUGAUACAUAGCCGACCUGAGAGGGGGAGCGGCACCAUUGGGACUGAGACAGGACCCAAACUCCGACGGGAGGCAGCAGGGGGGAAUCUUCGGGAAUGGACGAAAGUCUGACCGAGCAACGCGGGGUGAGGGAAGAAGGUUUUCGGAUCGAAAAACUCUGUUGGUAGAAAAGAACGUUGGUGAGAGGGGAAAGCUCAUCAAGUGACGGUAACUACCCAGAAAGGGACGGCUAACUACG